UUAUUGGUGGUUCAGUGGUAGAAUUCUUGCAUUCCGUUCAGGAGACCCGGGUUCAAUUCCCAGCCAAUGCA
rnacentral:tRNA from 1 species